UAAAAACCCGAAUUCUGCACUUCUGGGAGAGCAAGCAUAGGUGAUAUCUCUAACGGGGACGCUGUCGUACAUACAUUUAUGAGCCCACCAAAAGGUUUGGACAGUCCUAAAUAUAAGACUGGACAUCGAGACACAUCUGACAUGGAGACUAUGGUGCAGGACGUACAUAGAAAGAUAAGAACUAGUCGAGUAUCAGUGAAAAUACUUGUAGUAAUAAGAGUAGAACUCAUCUAGUCAAAUCCGAUUAGUAUUCUUGUAACCAACCGACCUGUAACCCUACCCCCGGCAAUAUAAGGUGAGGCAAGGACCCCCUCCAAAGCAAUUC
rnacentral:lncRNA from 1 species